rnacentral:rRNA from 1 species
GAUUAUAACCAACCGCUUCAUCUAACGGAAGGAUCAUAG